rfam:Danio rerio chromosome 25 genomic contig CTG2378, GRCz11 reference primary assembly.
ACAACGGCUCUUUUAAGAGCCACCCACGUUUUCAUAAGAGAGUAAU